rnacentral:rRNA from 1 species
CCCGAACUGGCCGCGUCGACGAAAUACUUAGUAGGCGGACGGGUGAGUAACGCGUGAGAAUCUGCCUUCAGGACGGAGACAACAGUUGGAAACGACUGCUAAGCCCCGAUGAACCGAAAGGGAAAAUAUUUAUAGCCUGAAGAUGAGCUCGCGUCCGAUUAGCUUGUUGGUGGGGUAGUGGCUUACCAAGGCUUUGACGGGUAGCCGGCCUGAGAGGGUGACCGGCCACAUUGGGACUGAGAUACGGCCCAGACUCCUACGGGAGGCAGCAGUGGGAAUAUUGCACAAUGGGCGGAAGCCUGAUGCAGCAACGCCGCGUGCGGGAUGACGGCCUUCGGGUUGUAAACCGCUUUCGCCUGUGACGAAGCGUGAGUGACGGUAAUGGGUAAAGAAGCACCGGCUAACUACGUGCCAGCAGCCGCGGUGAUACGUAGGGUGCGAGCGUUGUCCGGAUUUAUUGGGCGUAAAGGGCUCGUAGGUGGUUGAUCGCGUCGGAAGUGUAAUCUUGGGGCUUAACCCUGAGCGUGCUUUCGAUACGGGUU